rnacentral:SRP_RNA from 1 species
GCCAGGUGUGGUGGUGUGCACCUGUGGUCCCUGCUACUCAGGAGGCUGAGGUGGGAGGAUCGCUUGAGCCCCGGAGGCAGAGGGUGCAGUGAGCUGAGAUCAAGCCACUGCAUUCCAGCCUGGGCAACACAGUGAGACCCCAUCUCAA